GUGUUUUAUGCUUAUUAUCAAAGAGGAUGGAUAAUUCCCUCUUGUUGUAUCCAAACAAGUUAGGUUUAAUGAAAUUAAGUUGUGUUUCAAAAAAAAAGAACAUUACUAAAGUUUAAGGGCAACUUUAUUGCUAGUAACUACCCUAAAGUUUCUAAGAAAAGAGAAAACAAAGUAUUUUAAUGAAAAAUUUAUAUUUCAAUUUUCUUUAGUUAUUAAACCCAAUAGGUAUAUGACUUGUAAAUACUG
rnacentral:lncRNA from 1 species